UGUGGGCUAUUGUAUGACUGGGGGAUAAUAAGGAGGUUCAAGCUAAAAAUAAAUAAUUAGACACUAAAUUAUUUAGUCUCUUAUUUCCAUCGGUAUAAGAGUAUCAGAGCCUAUAAUUUUUUUUCAAAUGUUCAGCGUUUCAAAAUCUUUUCAAAUCACUAACUUUAAAAUUAUUUUUUCCGAAUUCAAUCCUGAAUCCAAACACCUAGUUCAAUAAUUUUUUUUUGCCGUACCUGUGGAAUUUAUCCACUAAAUGGAACCGAACUUAGCACUUAGAACAAAAAUGAUUCACAUACCGUACAUAAUCUGUUAUUUAAUAGAGUUUUUUUUGGAAAUUGCAAAAAAUCAAAGGUUACAUUAUGAAUUCAUUAGACAUACUUGAUCCCUUUGAGAAUACUUUAAUUUUAUUCUUCAACUAAAGUAUUUUUUUCAUUGUUCAAAGGAGACGUAUGUCGCGUCAUGCGCCGAUAAAGCUUCGGAAGGGCGCACAAUCACAAGUAUCAUGGGGAAGCUGGUGACCCUUCCUUACCAUCCAAAGCAAGGACGACCAUAAGAGAGAGAAAAACCUUUCAAGGACCUUCUGAUAACUGAAGUUAUGAUUGAAGCUGCUACAAACCGGUGCUGGCCGAAGGCAGAAUUGAAGCAGGUCUAGUUGAAAGCGGCUUCGUGGCUUGCACAAGCCCAAUCCAAGUUGGACAAAAUGAAUCAGCCAUCAACACCAGCUACAAUAACAAUAAUCGACAUCGAUUGUGAAGAUGAACCUCUCGAAUAGAUAAUAAUAUAAUAGUAGUGACAGAAAAGAUCAUAAAACGUGUCUACAUGUUCAAUUUACUGAUAUCAUAAACAAUAAAUUAGUAAUUGAUUAUAA